AUGUCUUCCUCAAGCUCCCACGCCACCUCGUGGAUGCAGAGCCGGGCGCGAGUGGACAUGCCUGUCUUCGUCUAUCCGCGAUGCCGGGCGGGCGUUGUUCGGAGGGUUUCUCACACACCGGGGAACAAGAAUCGUCCGUUCUAUGUGUGCAACGACAAUGGGUAAGAAUUGGGGCAAUUGCACCAUUUUCGUGGUCGGGAUGUUUGAGCAAUGGGUUGAUCUGUUUGGUCUUCAUGCAGGUGACAUGCUUCUUUCUUUGGGUCGAUGCUCUGGGCAAGACUCUGAUGAAUGAACUUCAAGAAGAGCAUGAAGAAUGGUUGUGCAUGCUGCCACGAACGGCAGUGGCCGCAACACGAGCUCUGGAAGAAGAGAUGGAGGGCGAAGCACGCACUGACAGAGAGCUAGCUAUUGAGCUUAGGAUGUUGAAGAAGCAAGUUAGGAAGCUUGAAGAUCAAGCACUACCAAUACCCAUUUGCAAAUACUUUUGGGCAUUUGUAGGUAUGGUAAUCGCACUAGUUGUAAUGUUGAAAAUGUAUGGAAAGGCAUGA
rnacentral:rRNA from 1 species